rnacentral:tRNA from 1 species
GGGCCGGUAGCUCAGCAUGGUUAGAGCGCGUGACUGAUAAUCACGAGGUCAGGAGUUCAAAUCUCCCCCGGCCCA